rnacentral:SRP_RNA from 1 species
GCCAGGCAUGGUGGCUCACACCUACCGUCCCAGCUACUCAGGGGGCUGAGGUGGGAGGAUCACUUGAGCCCAGGAGUUCUGGGCUGCAGUGUACUAUGCAGGCAGAUCAGGUGUCUGCACUAAGUUUGGCAUCAAUAUGGUGAUAUCCUGGGAGUGGGGAACCACCAGGUUGCCUAAGGAGGGGUAAACUGACUUAGGUUGGAAAUGGAGCAGGACAAAACUCCUGUGCUGAUCGGUAAUGAGAUCACAUCUGUGAAUAGCCACUGUACCCCAGCCUGGGCAACAAGGCAAGACCCCAUCUUUU